CACCAAUCUCUCAGCAACUGCUAAAUUCAUCUUCUCCCUCACUACAAAGCUAUUUCAUCCUCCUAGGGCGAAUUGUAGAGCGGGGCUUAGCUUUAGUUGCAGCAAGCUUCAAGGUGAAGCUUGCUUAACCAUGGAGAAUGAGAGAGCUUUGUAGUGAGGGAAAAGAUGAAUUUAGCUUUUGCAGAGAAAUUGGUGAACGUGAUGGUUAAAUACCCCUUGAAUUUGCAGUGAUUGUUGAAUUUAUAUGGCUUGAGCUUGUAACUACUUUGGGUACCUCAGUAACUUCUAUGUUGAAGUUAGCAAAUCAAACACAUGAAAUGAGCACAAAGAUGGAGCAUUAACCAGGACCAAAUCAAAGGGCUUGACAUGGAUCGAAGAUGUGGAUCACGAAGAGAUGAACCAGACAAAGCAUAUGGAGGAACCUCGAAGUCCAAAAUGCACAAAGUUGAUAUCUCUUGAGGAUGAAGAAUAUGAGGGAAUUAAGUUUAGGAUUAGACAAUUGACUUUGGUCAAUUGGUUGAUAAAAAAGUCAACAGUUGACCAAAGUCAACUAUAGGUCCCAAUUUUGAAAUUUGUGUAAAGUUUGUAACUUGGAUCUUGAAUGUUGUAAUGAAACAUCUGAUGUAAUGUAAUUGGAAAUUUUGAAAUGAAAAAGGAUUUUGAAUGGUA